CCGAGGGUAAUCACCCACCCCGGCUAUCGAGCAUCAGCUACUCGGGUUUGUUGUUCGGAGUUGUCCCUCUCCGAGGGUAAUCACCCACCCCGGCUAUCGAGCAUCAGCUACUCGGGUUUGUUGUUCGGAGUUGUCCCUCUCCGAGGGUAAUCACCCACCCCGGCUAUCGAGCAUCAGCUACUCGGGUUUGUUGUUCGGGGUUGUCCUUCUCCGAGGGUAAUCACCCACCCCGGCUAUCGAGCAUCACCUGCUCAGGUUUGUUGUUCGGAGUUGUCCCUCUCCGAGGGGAAUUGCUUACCCCGGCCAUUGAGCUCCACCUGCC